rnacentral:rRNA from 1 species
CCUACGGGAGGCAGCAGUGAGGAAUAUUGGUCAAUGGACGAGAGUCUGAUCCAGCCACGUAGCGUGAAGGAAGACUGCCCUAUGGGUUGUAAACUUCUUUUAUAUGGGAAUAAAAUGUUCCACGUGUGGGAUUUUGUAUGUACCAUAUGAAUAAGGAACGGCUAACCCCGUGCCAGCAGCCGCGGUGAUACGGAGGAUCCGAGCGUUAUCCGGAUUUAUUGGGUUUAAAGGGAGCGUAGGUGGAUUGGUAAGUCAGUUGUGAAAGUUUGCGGCUCAACCGUAAGAUUGCAGUUGAAACUGGCAGGCUGGAGUACAGUAGAGGGGGGCGGAAUUCGUGGUGUAGCGGUGAAAUGCUUAGAUAUCACGAAGAACUCCGAUUGCGAAGGCAGUUCACUGGACUGCAACUGACACUGAGGCUCGAAAGUGUGGGUAUCAAACAGGAUUAGAUACCCGUGUAGUC